GCCGGGCGGAGAGGCUCCUCACUUCUCAGACGGGGCGGCUGCCAGGCGGAGGGGCUCCUCACUUCUCAGACGGGGCGGUUGCCAGGCGGAGGGUCUCCUCACUUCUCAGACGGGGCGGCCGGACAGAGACGCUCCUCACCUCCCAGACGGGGUCACGGCCAGGCAGAGGCGCUCCUCACAUCCCAGACGGGGCGGCGGGGCAGAGACGCUCCCCACAUCUCAGACGAUGGGCGGCCGGGCAGAGACGCUCCUCACUUCCUAGAUGGGAUGGCGGCCGGGAAGAGGCGCUCCUCACUUCCUAGAUGGGAUGGCGGCCAGGCAGAGACACUCCUCACUUUCCAGACUGGGCAGCCGGGCAGAGGGGCUCCUCACCUCCCAGACGAUGGGCGGCCAGGCAGAGACGCUCCUCACUUCCCAGACGGGGUGGCGGCCAGGCAGAGGCUGUAAUCUGGGCACUUUGGGAGGCCAAGGCAGGCGGCUGGGAGGUGGAGGUUGUGGCGAGCCGAGAUCACGCCACUGCACUCCAGCCUGGGCACCAUUGAGCACUGAGUGAACCAGACUCCGUCUGCAAUCCCGGCACCUCGGGAGGCCGAGGCUGGCGGAUCACUCGUGGUUAGGAGCUGGAGACCAGCCCAGCCAACACAGCGAAACCCAGUCUCCACCAAAAAAAUAC
rnacentral:lncRNA from 1 species